UGCUUGGGAGAGAAGGGACGAAGAGGAGGCUUAGGGAAGGGGGGUGGGGUGAUGAAAUAGGGGUGCAGCCGAGGCAUCCCGACCGGCCGGAGAGGCCCCCGGCACACUGCCUACGCCAGCACCGGCUCCCGAGGAUCUGAAGGGCCGGAGCGUGGAGAGUUAUUGAGCAGACCCAGACUGGGGAAAGGGACCGAGUUGCUGGUGGAGUUGGGAAAUUUGAGAAACCGGAGAGGAUAGGAACGCAAUGAGUUGCUGUUGCUAAUUCAAACUGUUGUUUGCUUUCACUCGAAAAACGAAAGGAUAAGAGACUGUUUUAACACUCAAUUACAGGAGCCUCAGGGUCGGUCCUUGCUGGGUACGGAUUUGGUGCUCUGGCCCCGGCCCGAGAGUGCGGCCUGAAGCUGUGCAGCGGCUGCUGUUACCUGCAAAGGAACACGCUUCGGAGCCCGCUGCUGCCACCUGCGGGCGGAACGCUGAAGGGCAAAACGUGUUUAUCCGGGUGUCCGCCCCUGGGGCGUGGAUCCAAGGGCCAAGUUUCCUCUGUAGCUCCGCACAGCGAGCGAAAGCAUUCCUGACUUUGCCAGAAAGUGAAGAUGUGGUUUCCAGAUCCACUAGGGAACUGACUCAUUGAGAUGAAGUGCUGCUAUGGAUAAGAGUAAUGGUUAGGGAGCCAAAUGCUUCUGUGGGUAAGGAAUUCAGAAACUGAGGAAAGUUAGCCUGUACUCCACCAUGUCUGGGGCUUCAACUGGGAAGACUUCAAGCCUGAGAUGGCUGGGAGCAGGAUCAUCUGGAGAUUCAUUCACUCACAUGUCUGGCACAUGAGCUGGAAGGACUUAAAGACCAGGACUACUAAGCAGAGCACCUACAUGUGGCCUCUUCUUGUAGGUUGGCUUCCUCAGAAUAGUCAGACUUCUUACAUGGCAGCCAGGGUUCCAAGCAUGAGGUUCCAGAAAACAAGGUAGAAGCUGCACUGCCUUUUAUCACCCAGCCCCAAAAUUCACAUAGCCCCAUUUCCACCAUAUUCUGUUAGUUAUAAGGAAGUCACAAGCCCACCCUAUUUGAAGGAGGAAGACCUAAAGUCCACAUAUUAAUGGAAAGAAUGCCAAAGAACUUCAGGGCCAUGUUUUAAAACUUCUAACCAUUGAAUCAUAGUUAAAGAGAAUUUACUGUCUUGAAAAUUAAAAUAAGUAAAAAUUAAAAUUUGGACAUGAAAAACUAUUGUAUUAAAAUUAAAAAGUUAUAUUUAUACUAAUAUUUUGGAGAAACCUAUUAAUUUAAUAUAAAACAAAUUGUUGCUCUGAAUUAACCAGAAUAAAAAUUAAUAAUAAAAUUAA